rnacentral:rRNA from 1 species
UACGUAGGGCGCGAGCGUUGUCCGGAAUUAUUGGGCGUAAAGAGCUCGUAGGCGGUUUGUCGCGUCUGCCGUGAAAGUCCGGGGCUCAACUCCGGAUCUGCGGUGGGUACGGGCAGACUAGAGUGAUGUAGGGGAGACUGGAAUUCCUGGUGUAGCGGUGAAAUGCGCAGAUAUCAGGAGGAACACCGAUGGCGAGGGCAGGUCUCUGGGCAUUAACUGACGCUGAGGAGCGAAAGCAUGGGGAGCGAACAGG